rnacentral:rRNA from 1 species
GAUGAACGCUGGCGGCGUGCCUAAUACAUGCAAGUCGAGCGAACAGAUGAGGAGCUUGCUCCUCUGCCGUUAGCGGCGGACGGGUGAGUAACACGUGGAUAACCUACCUAUAAGACUGGGAUAACUUCGGGAAACCGGAGCUAAUACCGGAUAAUAUAUUGAACCGCAUGGUUCAAUAGUGAAAGACGGUUUUGCUGUCACUUAUAGAUGGAUCCGCGCCGCAUUAGCUAGUUGGUAAGGUAACGGCUUACCAAGGCAACGAUGCGUAGCCGACCUGAGAGGGAGAAUGGCCACACUGGCACUGAGACAGGCUCCAGACUCCUGCGGGAGGCAGCAGUAGGGAAUCUUCCGCAAGGCGCGAGAGCCGAACAUAGCAACGCGGCGUGAGUGAUGAAGGUCUUCGGCUCGUAAAGCGAUGCUGUUAGGGAAGAACAAAUGUGUAAGCAGCUAUGAACGACUUGACGGUACCUAAUCAGAAAGCCACGGCUAACUACGUG